rnacentral:rRNA from 1 species
CAACAGGGAUUGCCUUAGUAACGGCGAGUGAAGCGGCAAAAGCUCAGAUUUGAAAUCUGGCGUCAUUCUGGCGCUCGAGUUGUAAUCUGUAGAGAAGUGUUCAAGUGUGGAUUUGACUUAAGUUCCUUGGAACAGGGCGUCAUAGAGGGUGAGAACCCCGUUAACGGUCUAUGUCUUAUGCUUAUGUGAACCUUCUUCAACGAGUCGAGUUGUUUGGGAAUGCAGCUCUAAAUUGGUGGUAAAUUCCAUCUAAAGCUAAAUACUGGCAAGAGACCGAUAGCGCACAAGUAGAGUGAUCGAAAGAUGAAAAGAACUCUGAACAGAGAGUUAAAUAGUACGUGAAAUUGUUGAAAGGGAAGCACUUGCUACCAGACACGCCUGUAGUUGAUCAGCCUCCAUUUUUGGUGGUGCACUUAGCUAUAGGUGGGUCAGCAUCAGUUAUAUUGGUGGGAUAAAGACCUUGGGAAUGUGGCUUCUUUCGGGAAGUGUUAUAGCCCGAGGUGUAAUACCAUCUAAAAUGACUGAGGCCCGCGCUUCGGCGAGGAUGCUGGCAUAAUGGUCGUAAGUGACCCGUCUUGAAACACGGACCAAGGAGUCUAACAUCUAUGCGAGUGUUUGGGCGUGAAAACCCUUACGCGUAAUGAAAGUAAACGUAGGUGGGAACCGCAAGGUGCACCAUCGACCGAUCCUGAUGUUCUCGGAUGGAUUUGAGUAGGAGCAUAGCUGUUGGGACCCGAAAGAUGGUGAACUAUGCCUGAAUAGGGUGAAGCCAGAGGAAACUCUGGUGGAGGCUCGCAGCGGUUCUGACGUGCAAAUCGAUCGUCAAAUUUGGGUAUAGGGGCGAAAGACUAAUCGAACCAUCUAGUAGCUGGUUCCGGCCGAAGUCCCCCUCUCCGGAAAUA